UACGUAGGGUCCGAGCGUUGUCCGGAAUUAUUGGGCGUAAAGAGCUUGUAGGCGGUUUGUCGCGUCUGCCGUGAAAAUCCGGGGCUCAACCCCGGACUUGCAGUGGGUACGGGCAGACUAGAGUGUGGUAGGGGGAGACUGGAAUUCCUGGUGUAGCGGUGGAAUGCGCAGAUAUCAGGAGGAACACCGAUGGCGAAGGCAGGUCUCUGGGCCACUACUGACGCUGAGAAGCGAAAGCAUGGGGAGCGAACAGG
rnacentral:rRNA from 1 species